rnacentral:lncRNA from 1 species
GUUAUAAUGCAUCGUCAUCAGUGUUUCUAUGUAGAUUGUAGAGUCGUUGGGGUGGGGGUGGGGUGGGGGCGCCGGUGUUGCUAUGUAGCAUCAUGGGGUACGUCGUUGCUGCGAUGCAGCAUCACCGGAGUUCCCGGUGUUGCUAUGCAUCGUCGUCGGUGUUUCUAUGCAGCGUCGUUGGGGUUGCCGGUGUUGCUAUGUAGCGUCAUCGGGGUCGUCGGUGUUGUGAUGUAACAUCAUCGGCGCUUCAACGAAGCAUUGGGAUGCUGCGAUGAAGCGUCGCAUGUCCGAUACGGGGUCUUGCACCGCUCUGAUCAGUGUAAACUUGUGAAAUGGGAGUAAGAUGUGGGACGAGGAAGACGAGCUAUGUUUACGCGAACUUGUGAUCGAACCGUCACGCGCGCCUAUUCAGACGGCUUGUCACGCAAUUUAUUUU